GAACGCAGGCUUGAAUCCGUGGGCAACCCGGCAGGACGCCGGGUUAGCCGCCCCGCGCCAUGGAUGGCGCGUGGCGGCGGCCCACGGAUUCAAGCCGGAGUGA
rfam:Pseudomonas fluorescens SBW25 complete genome